ACUUAUCUGAGUUUUAGAAGUUAGAUCAAUGACCAAGAAAAGCCUGUAAAACAAGAAGAACACACGAGAUGACAAGAUUUAUUUUAUCAGAGUUUCAAAACUGCAUUAGGAUUCUCAUGCACUAAGAAAGCAACAAAAAGAAUCGAACUCUCGUGAUAUUCCCCCCUCUCCACGCAGCAUCGCGUCAGAUAUGGGGGACAGUGAACGCAUCACUUACAUAUUGGGCGCAUGUUCCGCGCAUGCUGGGACGCUCGACCAAUCAGAUCGACGCAUGCCGCAAACCACACCUGCGCGGCAACUCGUGUCGCGCGCCUCAUCAUCAGCAUUGUACUAGCAGCGCCGCAAACAAAAGUUACAGGAGUUUGUCUCUCUUCGGUUCACUAAAGUUUAUUUAUUUUUUUGCCAUGCAGGGUUAAAUUUAAGUCGGGGGAAUAUUAACGAGGACGAAAGCUGCACUGACGCCUCAGGAGAAGACCGACGAGUCCCAUAGAAGCCAACUACAGCCGUGGAAAAGUUAUUGUUCGCGGAGCCCCGGUGGGGUUUAAAGUUCAGCUAGGCUAUUAGCAGGUAGUUAGCUUCGUAUCUGUACCCGUUGGUCCCCUCACAAUGGCAGCUGUGUGCCAGCCGCGACGUGCUUUGGUGGAAAUCCCUGCACCGCAGCCCAAAAUUGCAGCUCGAAUGAGGAGGUCCUACUUAGAAAUUCUGAGUGCACGUUUGGCUCCGUCUCCUCUUCCAAGAGGGAGAACCACAGCUCCAAAGCGUGUACAAUCAUUGGACUUGUCCAUCGGUGGAGUUUGGAGAGGAGGGAUGGAGGAGCAUUGUGAGAAGAUGGACGAGCCCCACACACCGCUCUCCAAACAGCAGCUUGUACAGCUGAUCAGAUCCCUGAUCUUAGUGGAACAGAGCCAAGAGCCAAGGAUCAUAGCGUCAGACCUGAAAUAUCUUCAGGAAGACCUGCAGCUAAAGAAGGCAAAUGUUUACAGGUCCAUACCUUAUUCACGGUUUGGCUCCAACAGGGAUGCUCACUGCUACAGGAAGGCCUAUCCUCAUCUAGUGGCAUUCAAAGUUUCGUGUCAGGAGUGGGGCCAAGUUCUGCUGAGGAACAAAGAGUGGGACGCUGCGUUGGAGCACUCGUUGAUGGCGUGGCGAUACACCAGCGAGUUGCCGCAGUGGGACACGGCGAACCACAACGCUCUCCGAGAACAGUGUUACAGCAUCCUGGCAGCUCACAGCCUCACCGCUCUGGAGCACUACCGCCCCGAACCCAACAGAGGACGCGAGCUGCUCAGAAGGUCACAGUGAACCAGAUACUAAGUGGUGUUUGUGUACACCCGUAAAGCCAAGUGUGUGCUUCCUACAUCCUUCUGAGCAAUAACCUGAUGUUUAAACAAACCAGCUUCACUCAGGUUGCUUGGAAAAUCGAGCUUCAGCUGCAUUUACCGUUUUUGACUACUGUCAAAAAUAUACACGGUACGCUUACCGCAGCCUCUUGACUGAUGGCUUGGCAACAAGUUGCAAAGCAGCAUGGACAUCCUACUGGAGUCCCGUCUUCCGACCUGUUGAGUCUAAGCUCAGAUGCGUUUAUCGCCUGGGUUGGUACACCAGCCCCAGCAAAACAGGUUGAAGAUGGCUCAGCUGCAUAGCCAGUCAGUUGUUCCCUGUAUUCAGGAGCUGCAGAGGAUUAUGGGAUGCUGUGAUGACUCAUCCAUGGAUACAAAAUGAUAGGAGAAUGCACCUCAACAGCUGGAUUCAUGGCAGUGAAAAGUGCGCUCAGUGAUUUAUGUGUGUUAAUGGGCCAAAAACAUUUUACAUGGUGGUGUUUGUUUGGAAAAACCACUCCAGUAUUCUUCCAAAGGGCACGGUCGCCAGUGCAAAAUUGCCAAAAGUGCCACACAAUGCGGGUUUGUAAAGGUGAUGAAAACCACCCUCUAAAUGGUUGGAAAUGCAAUAAAACCUCUUAUUUAUUCACGUGGCAUUUUAACAUCAACUGCAAAGUGUCAUGAAGAGGAGUGCAUUCAUUGGUUAAUGGAGCAUUCUGUUCAUACAUUACCUUGCAGGCUAUAAAAUAUGUUCCCUCAUUUCUAAGGAGCAUUCACACUCUGACAAAUGUUAUGGUCACUUGGUGCUGGCAGUGAUGUAAUGAAAAUAUUUGUAUGUUUUUAGAUCUUUGUAUAAUGUAGUCUGGAUUGAAAUGUAAAGAAUAUAAAAUGUCUCAUGUUGCUUUAUGGGUGUGUAUAUAUGUUACUGUUCACGAUACUUGAAGCUGUGGCCUUUUGUCUUCAACUAGUUAAGUUUUAUGUGUUGUAGAGAAUUGUCUGUCAUCGAUUGCACUGUUUGUCCUGAAAACUUGAAACUUGAUAAAAUAGGUUCCUAAUUUAAAUAAAUUCCUUACUUUGAACUGCAGAA
ensembl:lncRNA